ACAAACUGGCGUUUAAAAGGUAAACAUUCUGAAAAUGAAAGAAUAUUUGGUAGUGAUGACCAGGACUGAAGUUGGUUAAAAGAUUUAAGUCAGUGAAAGUGAAG